GAGUUUGAUCGUGGCUCAGAUUGAACGCUGGCGGCAUGCCUUACACAUGCAAGUCGAACGGCAGCACGGGAGCUUGCUCCUGGUGGCGAGUGGCGAACGGGUGAGUAAUGCAUCGGAACGUAUCCUGGAGUGGGGGAUAACGUAGCGAAAGUUACGCUAAUACCGCAUAUUCUGUGAGCAGGAAAGCGGGGGACCUUGGGGCCUCGCGCUCUUGGAGCGGCCGAUGUCGGAUUAGCUAGUUGGUGAGGUAAAGGCUCACCAAGGCGACGAUCCGUAGCAGGUCUGAGAGGAUGAUCUGCCACACUGGAACUGAGACACGGUCCAGACUCCUACGGGAGGCAGCAGUGGG
rnacentral:rRNA from 1 species